GGAGGAGGGGCCUCUGUUCCUUCCACAGGUCCCGCCCACCUCAGUGAAGGAGGAGCUGAUACCUGAGCUCCUCGGCUGUGAGCUGCUGCGUGAGGCAACGAUCGUGCCGUGCUGUGGAAGGACCUUCUGUAACCAGUGUAACUCCAGACUGUCUUUGAUCAUCCUGGAGCUGAUCAAUGGUCACUGCAUACUGGGUCAACAGAACCAUGGACCAUGUGAUGCUGUAGUUCUGCACCUCAACAGACUGUCCUGUUGCUCGCACUGAUCCAGAUUAAAAUUCUUCACUACACUGCUUCAGCAGAUAUUUGGUAAAGACCUCCAGCGUCCACAUUCUGUCUGCCUGGACAAUCCUUAAAGUGAUGUGAAAAUCUGCCAUUUUGCUUUUAACAACACACAAGUGAGAUGAUUAUUGUCUGUGUUCACAGUGCAAGAGGAGUCAAUCAGAUAAUCUCUAAAGUUUUCACAUAUAACCUGCUUAAGAGUGAGGAAUUCUUAUUUCCCAGAAUGAAAAUGGUUUUACCAAGAACACAGAGUGACACUUUUUAUAUUUCAGUGAGCUGCUGAAAAAAACAGGCAUGAUCUAUGUUACAUGAGUGAACUGUAAACUUCUGUUUAAAAAAAAGUUAAUGUUUCAGAUGCUCUAGAAAGUCGGCUUAUAGGAUUUUUUUUUUCCUGCAAAUUUUCAGUGUUUAUUAAAAGUGCCUUGUGGGUCCAGGACCGUGUUGUGUUUGCUGACCUUUCUUCAACCCCUCCGACAAACUUAGAAAUUGGUCAGAAACACAACUGUAUGUAAUGUUAAUCUGAAGUGGGUAAAGAUCUUUAAAGAAAAUUCAUUACAAUCUAAAGCUGAAUCCUAAUUUCAGCAUCUAUACCAUCCCAACUUUAUUUAUAAAGUACCUUAAAACAGCCAGCACAGAUACCUCUUUCUGCCUUUUCUGGGAUACUUUGGACACCACUGGUCUAUAAGAAAGCUGAACCAACAAAACCCAAUAUUGACUGUAUUGCAAAACUAAUACAAUAGCAGUUUUAUGACAUAAUGUUGUCAUACGUAAACUGUGGAAAAACAAUGCAAGUGCUUAUGGGUAUAGACCAACCCUGGUCUGUUGUGAAAGCUGUCAACAGCUGCUCAGUGCUCCCUCUAUUAGCUCUAAAUAUCUCCAAGAUGUUGACUGUAUUCAGUGCCUUCAUAGAAUUCUUGCUUGGGGUCCUUGCCCACAAUCCUGUUGAACUCCAUGUACCCCUGAAAAAUACAGAA